rnacentral:misc_RNA from 1 species
CCCCCUCAAAUUUUCUGGCCAUCCAAACAAAACUAACAGAUGAAAGUGCAAACAUCACGGGCCUCCUAAUUGAACUGAAUCUACUAACCUUCAAAUGGCAAUCGCAACCGCAAAAUUAUCAGAAUUGCCACUGAGAAACUCACUGCCUUUCCCACUCACCUCGCACUUCCUUUUCUCUUCUACCUUCAAGCCACCCUUUCAAUCCCUUAGAAAGUCUUUCUACUCUUCCGCUUCGCUUCGAACCGACGAAAACCCUAAACCCAAGAACCCUUUUCCCUCCCCCAAGUCCCCCUGGCUUUCCAAUUGGGGCCCUCAUAAAACCCCUCCUCCUCCUGCUCCGGCUCCGGCUCCGGCUCCGGCUCCCAGAAAGGUCACCCAAUCCGAUGGUCAAGAUAAGACUCGGUAUUUGACCAAAGACAAAGGCCGAAACGCUAUAGAGAGAAUCGUGCUUCGUUUGAGAAAUUUGGGGUUAACUUCCGACGAUGAGGAUGAUGAAGAAGCAGCAGCAGCGGAGGAAAUUGAAUUCAACGGUGGCGAUUUAGCGCCAGUAACCGGGGAGGAGAGAUUGGCAGAUCUAUUGCAGCGAGAGUGGGUCCGGCCUGACACUAUUUUUAGCAAUAAGGACGAUGAAGAGGACGAUGAUUUGGUAUUGCCAUGGGAGAGAAAGGAAAGCGAGAGAAAGGGCAGAGAGGAGGGAGAGGGAGGGAGGGAAAGGAAACGGACCGUUAAAGCUCCAACAUUGGCUGAAUUGACCAUUGAAGAUGAGGAGCUGAGAAGGCUGAGGAGAAUGGGGAUGUUUGUAAGAGAGAGGGUUAGCGUUCCGAAAGCUGGGCUCACAAAGGAUGUCUUGGAGAAGGUUCAUGAUAAAUGGAGGAAGCAGGAGUUGGUUAGGCUUAAAUUUCAUGAGGUGCUUGCCCAUGAUAUGAAGACUGCCCAUGAGAUCACUGAGCGUCGGACAGGAGGAUUAGUUAUAUGGAGGGCAGGAAGUGUCAUGGUUGUUUACCGUGGAAGUAACUAUGAAGGGCCUCCGUCAAAAUCCCAACCCGUUGAUAGAGAAGGGGAUGCUCUUUUUGUUCCAGAUGUUUCUUCUGCUGACAGUGCGGCAAUGACAAGCGACAAUGUUGCAGCUUUGACUUCUGAAAAGAGGGAACCAGCUAUGAGAAUAAUAAACCGUACUGAGAACAUGACAGAAGAGGACGCUGAAUUUAACAGUCUGCUUGAUGGUCUAGGCCCUCGUUUUGAAGAGUGGUGGGGCACAGGAAUACUGCCAGUGGAUGCAGACUUACUUUCUCCGAAAGUUCCUGGUUACAAAACACCUUUUAGGCUUCUUCCUACUGGAAUGCGGUCAAGGCUUACCAAUGCAGAGAUGACUAAUUUGCGAAAACUUGCUAAAACACUUCCUUGUCAUUUUGCCCUUGGGAGAAACAGAAACCAUCAAGGGUUGGCAGCUGCAAUACUCCAGCUUUGGGAGAAAAGCCUUGUUGCAAAGAUUGCUGUGAAACGAGGUAUCCAGAAUACAAAUAAUAAACUAAUGGCUGAUGAACUAAAGGCUUUAACAGGCGGUGUCUUAUUGCUUAGAAACAAGUAUUACAUUGUCAUAUACCGUGGAAAGGAUUUUUUGCCAACAAGUGUAGCUGCUGCUUUAGCAGAGAGAGAAGAAUUAACAAAACAGAUUCAAGAUGCUGAAGAGAAAGUGCGAAUCAAAGGAGUGGAGGCACCAUCAUCUGGGGACAAUGAAGGAAAGGCGCUUGCUGGUACCUUGGCAGAGUUCUAUGAGGCUCAAGCCCGGUGGGGAAAAGUUAUUUCUUCUGAAGAACGUGAAAAAAUGAUGGAAGAUGCUUCCAGAGCAAAAAGGGCCAGAAUUGUCAAACGAAUAGAACAUAAAUUAGCUGUUGCCCAAGCCAAAAAGCUUAGAGCAGAAAGAUUGUUAGCCAAGAUAGAAGCCUCUAUGGUUCCUUCUGGUCCUGAUUACGACCAAGAAACGAUAACUGAUGAGGAAAAGGCAAUGUUUCGUAGAGUUGGCUUAAGAAUGAAGGCAUACUUGCCUCUAGGCAUUCGUGGUGUUUUUGAUGGUGUCAUUGAAAAUAUGCAUUUGCACUGGAAGCAUAGAGAACUAGUGAAGCUAAUAUCCAAACAAAAGACUCUUGCAUUUGUUGAAGAUACAGCUAGGUUGUUGGAAUAUGAGAGUGCAGGGAUACUAGUGGCAAUAGAAAGAGUACCCAAAGGAUUUGCUCUUAUUUACUAUCGUGGGAAGAAUUAUCGACGACCCAUUAACAUGAGGCCAAGAAAUCUCCUGACAAAGGCAAAAGCACUGAAGCGUUCUGUUGCUAUGCAACGUCAUGAGGCUCUUAGUCAGCACAUUUCUGAAUUGGAAAGAACCAUAGAGCAAAUGAAGAAAGAAAUUGUAAGUAUUGUUUUCCUUGUUACUUUAUUGAAACGAAGGGUGAACUCAUCCUGUGCAUACAGUCACAUACUGAGUUUUUUGCGCUCUGUGGUAACAUUUAGGUUUUUAAAAUGUUUUCAAACCAGUCAGUAUCAGAAAAAGUUUCCCCUAUUAUAAAUUGCCAUGAGAGGAGGAGGGUGUAGGGGAGUGGGUGGGGAGAAGCAAGGGUAGUUCUUGCAGGUGGUGAUAUUUCUAGUAUUAUGUGUGUGGAAUGCUUCAACCACGGAUGUUCAGUAAUGAACUUUUUUUGGUAGACUAUCAUCACUUCUGUCAUUAUCAUUUGCAGUUAACAAAACUAGGGUGGUUUUUGUUGAUCUAUAGGGUCUUUCUCUAGAAGAAGACCACAAAAAUAAUUGGACAUCAGAGGAACAGGGGCAGUUAAAUCAUGUCUCAGAAUUCACCCAGGUAAAAUAUUAGCUUUUCACUUUGCUAUUUAUUCAUCUUUAUACUUUUUGCCCCUCUGAUACAAUUGUGAAUAUUGUUUCCUUUAUGUUCUUUCUGGACUUGUAUUACUACUUUUCUUGUUAUGAUGAAGGAAUGCAUAUUUUCUUGCAAUCUGAAUUUUUUUUUUUUAAAUGAAUUUGCAGAGUGAGGAUGAAGCUGCAUUUGUUGGAUCUGAUGAAGAAGGGGAUCAUGAUGACUUUGAUGAAGAAGAAGAUGAUGAUGAUGAUUGGGGGAAGAAAAAUUGACUAGCUAGUGAGCCAUAGCAACAGGAGAUUGAUAGUUGAUGCUUCUCUGAUGAGGCAUGGCAAGCAUAGCAGUGUGAUCCAAGAAAUCUUUAAGAGAAACCACAGACUGUAAUAUUGUUCUUAAAUCAUCUGCACAAGAAAACCUCAUGUUUCCUAUCCGUCGCACUGCAUAUACAUAGAAGGUGAUGCAUCCUUUUCUGAACUUAAACCUUGCCAUUUCAGACCCAGUUAGGCCUCUAAUAAGCUUCUUGUUCACUUCUCCAAGAGGUACCUCUUGUGGCCAUAUUCUGUCUACAGCCAACUUCAUAGAAUCAGAUUCAAAAACAAACACUAGUAUUUUGGAUUUCUUGGUGCCAAGACCAAGUGUUAGAGUAUGCCAAGCUUGAUGGGCUAAGAUAGUGAAGUUUGUAGGCAAGAAAGCUAUUGUUGAGGGGAAAGGGAUUUUGCUGCUGCUGUUGUUUC